rnacentral:rRNA from 1 species
GAUCAUGGCUCAGGAUGAACGCUAGCGACAGGCUUAACACAUGCAAGUCGAGGGGCAGCACGGUGUAGCGAUACACUGGUGGCGACCGGCGCACGGGUGAGUAACACGUGUGCAACCAACCCCGUACCGGGAGAUAACCCGCGGAAACGUGGACUAACAUCCCAUGAUACUCGAGAGCCGCAUGGCUCUCGAUUUAAAAUUCCGGUGGUACGGGACGGGCACGCGCGACAUUAGGUAGUUGGCGGGG